CCAACCUGAAAUUUCUGAAAGUUUUCUGAAACAUUUGGAUGUUUUGAAUUUUUUUUUGUGAAUUUUAAGAGAAAGCUAAUGAACUCCCCUAUCUGAAAAAAGAAGAAAUAAGAAGAAUUUAAGUGGGAAAAUGUUGGAAAAACCUAAUUCCAAAAACGUUUCUUCAAAUGGGAUGACCCAGAUUGAAGCCUAAGCUUGGAAAAUCUGUUCUUUAAGGAUCGUUGGGACGUUCAGAAGUUCAGCUCGGCGAAGGCGAAUGUAAGGGACGGUAAUGCAGCGAAGGCAGCCGGAGAAAGACGGAGUGCCGUCUCCUGAUGAGGACAACAGGAAUCACACACACUCAGAGUGGCUCAGGAUUAAAGAUUGAUGAAGAACGGCAUGUUGGGAGUGGAGAGCGCGCUGGCCAGUGCCUCCCAACACCACAAAUAACAAACCGCAUCCAGCUUCCAAGUGCAAACAAGCCUCCAAACAAGGCUUCUGCACACCCAGCGACAUCCACGGGGAGAAUCCGGGAGUCUACAGCAAGAUCUGAGAUAGUCGUUUGAAAGCUUGUUGGAUUUUCAGCUGGAAAACUUUGUAAACCCUUUCUUUGACCCUUCAAAAGCGUCAAUUCCCAACGUGAGCUUCCUACAGAUUGGGGAACGCUUUCGGUUUUGAGUUAAGGAACUUAAAGGAGCUCAAAGGGAACAUCUCAAAGACUUCUGGGAGUAGAGGGAGCAUUGAGGAGCCGGUGCUGGCCCUGGAAGGAUGGGGAUGGGGGGGUACAUGGAGGAAGGGCUCAGGAGGGAUGGAGCUUUAAGGGUUUCUAUGGAGGUUUAAGCGAAUGGAUGCAGCACCAGAAUAAGAAGCAGAAGUGGGAGUCUCUGCGGUCCCCCUGGUACAAUGUGUGCAGGCGUGGCGCCCCCUGGAGGUGGGGAUCAGUGAUAUUAAACAUGCUCCCCCCAGAUGGCCACCAUCACACGUGCCGGACCUUCACGGAGGAGCCAGAAAACGACAGGGAGGAGAGGAUCCUCGCCAUACUGGGCAUCAUCGGUACGGUCCUCAACCUGCUGGUGGUCAUCUUCGUCUACAUCUACACCACCAUCUGAACGCUGCACUGAGACUCGGACGAAUCCAGGAGAUGGAUGGAGAGAUCGGACAUCAUGUAGAUGAGGAACGAGAGAAGAACAGAAUUAUAUUUCUUAAUAUUCCUUUCGUUUCCGGAGAAAAACCAUCAAAAAACAACAUCAAACGGAGACGAUGCCUGGCGAGAAACAAUACCACGCCACAAAAUAUACUGUACCUUAUAUUACAUUUAUGUGGAGAUAAUCUGAUCAUAUCUGGACCAUCAUGUUUAGUUUCAAAAAAGUGUUUUUGAAAGAGAGAGAGUUUUGCCAGUUUUUAAUAAUUUCCUAUUAUUAUCUAUGAUUUACACACUAAAAUUUAUGUUGUAAAUACUCAACCACAAGUGCAUGACUAUAUUCUUAUUCUUACUAUCCUCACGUCUGAUUUAUAUGAUUUGUUAUCUAUCUUAGAUCAUGCUGUUGAAGAGAGUUUUAGGCUACGUUCACAUAGCUAAAAGUGUUUAAAAUUGGUACAAAAGUGGCGCAAAUCUGAUAUUUUUGGUCAUAUCUGGUGUUUUAAGUUCUGGAAAUCUGAUUAAAAACUCAAUAUAUCUCAAUAUAUAGAUUUGAGACAAUGCAGCUUAGUAUGAACUGUAAGAUUUUUGCAUUUUUUGCAGCUUUUACGUCAAAGAAAAGGAAAAAAAAUGGACGAUAGCAUUCAGUAAGGUAUUUAGCAGUGAGUUAGUGAGCUAAAAGUGCUUAUAAAUAUUAAGACAGAUGUUUAAAUGGUUAUGAAAUCAAAGGAAACUAAACUAAACAAACAAUUAAAGCUUAAAGAAGCAAAAUGAUGCAAACUAAAUAACUGGAAGUCCUCAAUCUCUCUUAUGAUGCUGGAGAAGAUGAAACCGAAACUUCACGUGAAGCUCUGCUGCUGCUCUUCUUUAGCGCUUCAGUAUUUUUAGCGCUAGCUAAACUGUUCAGUUUAAUGCAGAAGUGUUCGGAUCUUAUUUAAAAAGGUGAAAAUGUGUUAAAACAUCAUUGUUGCUGAAAAAAACGUGGAAAAAUCUAAUUCAGGACAAUGCAGCUCAGUUUGAACUGUAAGAUUUUUUGGAUUUUUGGCAACUUUUACGUCAAAUAAAAGGGAGAAAAAAUGGAGGAAAGCA
rnacentral:lncRNA from 1 species